UGAGGCCUCAAUUCCGUAGUGCAUUGCAGUGCUUCAUGCCCCCUGCAAGCAGUGCGGAAGUGAGGCUGAGAC
rfam:Papilio xuthus contig17504, whole genome shotgun sequence.